rnacentral:rRNA from 1 species
UACGGAGGAUGCGAGCGUUAUCCGGAAUUAUUGGGCGUAAAGCGUCCGCAGGUGGCUAUGUAAGUCUGCUGUUAAAGAGUCUGGCUCAACCAGAUAAAGGCAGUGGAAACUACAUGGCUAGAGUGCGUUCGGGGCAGAGGGAAUUCCUGGUGUAGCGGUGAAAUGCGUAGAGAUCAGGAAGAACACCGGUGGCGAAAGCGCUCUGCUAGGCCGCAACUGACACUGAGGGACGAAAGCUAGGGGAGCGAAUGGG